ACGCACGCUGGCGGCGUGCUUCACCCCUGCCAGUCGAACGGAAAGGCCCUGCUUUUGUGGGGUGCUCGAGUGGCGAACGGGUGAGUAACACGUGAGUAACCUGCCCUUGACUUUGGGAUAACUUCAGGAAACUGGGGCUAAUACCGGAUAGGAGCUCCUGCUGCAUGGUGGGGGUUGGAAAGUUUCGGCGGUUGGGGAUGGACUCGCGGCUUAUCGGCUUGUUGGUGGGGUAGUGGCUUACCAAGGCUUUGACGGGUAGCCGGCCUGAGAGGGUGACCGGCCACAUUGGGACUGAGAUACGGCCCAGACUCCUACGGGAGGCAGCAGUGGGGAAUAUUGCACAAUGGGCGGAAGCCUGAUGCAGCAACGCCGCGUGCGGGAUGACGGCCUUCGGGUUGUAAACCGCUUUCGCCUGUGACGAAGCGUGAGUGACGGUAAUGGGUAAAGAAGCACCGGCUAACUACGUG
rnacentral:rRNA from 1 species